UAAAAAUACAAAUCGGGAAGGAUAGAGAACCUUCGACCCGAAGGUUUGAGCCGAGCGAAGCGAGACAGCGUUGCGCAGCAACGACCCGCAGGGCGAGGCCAAAGGCCGGGUCAUCCUUCCCCCACCACCA
rnacentral:sRNA from 1 species